UACAGAGGUCUCAAGCGUUGUUCGGAUUCAUUGGGCGUAAAGGGUGCGUAGGUGGCGCGCUAAGUCGGGUGUGAAAAUUUUCGGAGCUUAACUCCGAAAACUGCAUUCGAUACUGGCGUGCUUGAGGACUGGAGAGGAGACUGGAAUUCAUGGUGUAGCAGUGAAAAUGCGUAGAGAUCAUGAGGAAGACCAGUGGCGAAGGCGGGUCUCUGGACAGUUCCUGACGCUGAGGCACGAAGGUCAGGGGGAGCAAAACGGG
rnacentral:rRNA from 1 species